UACGGGGGGAGCAAGCGUUGUUCGGAUUUACUGGCGUAAAGGGCGCGUAGGCGGUCAGCACAAGUCAGUUGUGAAAUCUCCGGGCUUAACCCGGAAAGGUCAACUGAUACUGUGCGACUAGAGUGCGGAAGGGGCAACUGGAAUUCUCGGUGUAGCGGUGAAAUGCGUAGAUAUCGAGAGGAACACCUGCGGCGAAGGCGGGUUGCUGGGCCGACACUGACGCUGAUGCGCGAAAGCCAGGGAGCGAACAGG
rnacentral:rRNA from 1 species